rnacentral:rRNA from 1 species
GACGAACGCUGGCGGCGUGCUUAACACAUGCAAGUCGAACGGAAAGGCCCUGCUUUUGUGGGGUGCUCGAGUGGCGAACGGGUGAGUAACACGUGAGUAACCUGCCCUUGACUUUGGGAUAACUUCAGGAAACUGGGGCUAAUACCGGAUAGGAGCUCCUGCUGCAUUGUGGGGGUUGGAAAGUUUCGGCGGUUGGGGAUGGACUCGCGGCUUAUCAGCUUGUUGGUGGGGUAGUGGCUUUCCAAGGCUUUGACGGGUAGCCGGCCUGAGCGGGUGACCGGCCCCAUUGGAACUGGGAUACGGCGCAGACGCCUAGGGGAGGCAGCAGUGGGGAUUAUUGCACAAGGGGCGGAAGCCUGAUGCAGGAACGCCGCGUGCGGGAUGACGGCCUUCGGGUUGUAAACCGCUUGCGACUGUGACGAAGCGUGAGUGACGGGAAUGGGUAAAGAAGCACCGGCUAACUACG